rnacentral:rRNA from 1 species
UCAAGCGCGAGAAGGGCGUUUGGUGGAUGCCUUGGCAGUAAGAGGCGAUGAAGGACGUGAUACUCUGCGAUAAGCUUUGGGAAGUCGAGAAUAGACGCUAUACCCAAAGAUCUCCGAAUGGGGCAACCCAACUGAUACUUUGUUAUUGUUACACUUUGUGUAAUCAAUAAUGGGGUAAAACAGUUAUUAAUUACCUGAAUACAUAGGGUUUUUAAAGCAAACCUGGGGAACUGAAACAUCUAAGUACCCAGAGGAAAGGAAAUCAAUAGAUACUCCCGUAGUAGUGGCGAGCGAACCGGGACCAGCCGAGCAAUGAAUGUGACUAGAACCAGUUGGAAAGCUGGGCGAUAUGGGUGACAGCCCCGUAUAGGAAGCAUGAUUUGACGUAUUAAGUAGGGCGGAACACGUGAAAUUCUGUCUGAACAUGGGGGGACCACCCUCUAAGGCUAAGUACUCCUUACUGACCGAUAGCGAACCAGUACCGUGAGGGAAAGGUGAAAAGCACCCCGACGAGGGGAGUGAAACAGUUUCUGAAACCGGACGCCUACAAUCAGUUGGAGGGCCCUUGAGGCCUGACAGCGUACCUUUUGUAUAAUGGGUCAUCGACUUGGUCUCACAAGCAAGCUUAAGCCGUUAGGUGUAGGCGCAGCGAAAGCGAGUCUUAAUAGGGCGAAUGAGUUUGUGGGAUCAGACCCGAAACCGAGUGAUCUAGGCAUGACCAGGUUGAAGGUACAGUAACAUGUACUGGAGGACCGAACCCACACCUGUUGAAAAAGGUCGGGAUGAGUUGUGCCUAGGGGUGAAAGGCCAAUCAAACUCGGAGAUAGCUGGUUCUCCGCGAAAUCUAUUUAGGUAGAGCGUCGCACGAAUACCUUGGGGGGUAGAGCACUGAAUGGGUAAUGGGGACUCACCGUCUUACUGAUCCUAAUCAAACUCCGAAUACCCAAGAGUAAUAUGCGGCAGACACACUGCGGAUGCUAACGUCCGUAGUGGAGAGGGAAACAACCCUGACCCUCAGCUAAGGCCCCUAAUUCAUGGCUAAGUGGGAAAGCAGGUGGGACGACCAAAACAACCAGGAAGUUGGCUUAGAAGCAGCCAUCUUUUAAAGAUAGCGUAACAGCUCACUGGUCUAAUUUAAGUUAUCCUGCGGCGAAGAUGUACCGGGGCUCAAGCCAUGAGCCGAAGCUAGGGAUGCAAUUUAUUGCAUGGUAGCGGAGCGUUCUGUGAUAUAGAACGCUGCGUCUUUAGUAUCUUAGGAUAUUUUGGACGCAAUGUUCUGACUGUGAAGCCGGCGCGUAAGCGAUCCGGUGGAGUGAUCAGAAGUGAGAAUGUUGACAUGAGUAGCGACAAACAGGGUGAGAGACCCUGUCGCCGAAAGUCCAAGGGUUCCUGCUUAAAGCUAAUCUGAGCAGGGUAAGCCGACCCCUAAGGCGAGGCCGAAAGGCGUAGUCGAUGGGAACCAGUUUAAUAUUACUGGGCCAGGAGAUGGUGACGGAUCGAAAGCGUAGUGACUCCUUAUCGGAUUGAAGUUGCUGCCGGACGGUUCCUGGAAAUAGCCCUCCAUUAGAUCGUACCCUAAACCAACACAGGUGGACUGGUAGAGAAUACCAAGGCGCUUGAGAGAACUACAUUGAAGGAACUCGGCAAAAUACCUCCGUAAGUUCGCGAGAAGGAGGCCCAGUUUCUACGCAAGUAUUGGCUGGGGGCACAAACCAGGGGGUGGCGACUGUUUACUAAAAACACAGGGCUCUGCGAAGUCGUAAGACGACGUAUAGGGUCUGACGCCUGCCCGGUGCUGGAAGGUUAAGAGGAGGUGUGCAAGCACUGAAUUGAAGCCCCAGUAAACGGCGGCCGUAACUAUAACGGUCCUAAGGUAGCGAAAUUCCUUGUCGGGUAAGUUCCGACCUGCACGAAUGGCGUAACGACUUCCCCGCUGUCUCCAACAUAGACUCAGUGAAAUUGAAUUGCCUGUCAAGAUGCAGGCUUCCCGCGGUUAGACGGAAAGACCCCGUGCACCUUUACUACAGCUUCACACUGGCAUUAGGUCAGACGUGUGCAGGAUAGGUGGUAGGCUUUGAAACUCGGACGCCAGUUCGGGUGGAGCCUCCCUUGAGAUACCACCCCUGUCUGUCUUGAUGUCUAACCGCGGUCCGUUAUCCGGAUCCGGGACCCUGUGUGGCGGGUAGUUUGACUGGGGCGGUCGCCUCCUAAAGAGUAACGGAGGCGCGCGAUGGU